UACAGAGGUCCCAAGCGUUGUUCGGAUUUACUGGGCGUAAAGGGUGCGUAGGUGGCGAGGUAAGUUUGAUGUGAAAUCUCCGAGCUCAACUCGGAAAUGGCAUUGAAUACUAUCCCGCUUGAGGGUCGGAGGGGAGACUGGAAUUCUCGGUGUAGCAGUGAAAUGCGUAGAUAUCUAGCGGAACACCAGUGGCGAAGGCGAGUCUCUGGACAUUUCCUGACGCUGAGGCACGAAAGCCAGGGGAGCAAACGGG
rnacentral:rRNA from 1 species